GGAUGCGAUCAUACCAGCACUAAAGCACCGGAUCCCAUCAGAACUCCGAAGUUAAGCGUGCUAAGCGUGCUCGGGCGAGAGUAGUACUAGGAUGGGUGACAUCCUGGGAAGUCCUCGUGUUGCAUUCC
rnacentral:rRNA from 1 species